AGCUAAUAGAUACCCAGGUAGUCCACGCCGUAAACGAUGGGUACUAGGUGCCUGGGGGAGCGACCCCUUGGGUGCCGGCGCUAAACGCAGGAAGUACCCCGCCUGGGGAGUACGGCCGCAAGGCUGAAACUCAAAGGAAUUGACGGGGGCCCGCACAAGCGGUGGAGCAUGUGGUUUAAUUCGACGCAACGCGAAGAACCUUACCUAGGCUUGACAUGCAUGGAAACUCCUCAGAAACGAGGAGCCUCCUUCGGGAUCCAUGCACAGGUGCUGCAUGCUGUCGUCAGCUCGUGUCGUGAGAUGUUGGGUUAAAGUCCCGCAACGAGCGCAACCCCUGUUCUUAGUUACCAGCGCGUAAUGGCGGGGACUCUAGGAAGACUGCCGGUGCCAAA
rnacentral:rRNA from 1 species